rnacentral:rRNA from 1 species
GUGGGGAAUUUUGGACAAUGGGGGCAACCCUGAUCCAGCAAUGCCGCGUGCAGGAAGAAGGCCUUCGGGUUGUAAACUGCUUUUGUACGGAACGAAAAGGCUCUGGUUAAUACCUGGGGCACAUGACGGUACCGUAAGAAUAAGCACCGGCUAACUACGUGCCAGCAGCCGCGGUAAUACGUAGGGUGCAAGCGUUAAUCGGAAUUACUGGGCGUAAAGCGUGCGCAGGCGGUGCUGUAAGACAGGCGUGAAAUCCCCGGGCUUAACCUGGGAAUGGCGCUUGUGAAUGCAGUACUGGAGUGUGGCAGAGGGGGAUGGAAUUCCGCGUGUAGCAGUGAAAUGCGUAGAUAUGCGGAGGAACACCGAUGGCGAAGGCAAUCCCCUGGGCCUGCACUGACGCUCAUGCACGAAAGCGUGGGGAGCAAACAGGAUUAGAAACCCCUGUAGUCC